GACGAACGCUGGCGGCGUGCUUAACACAUGCAAGUCGAACGGAAAGGCCCUGCUUUUGUGGGGUGCUCGAGUGGCGAACGGGUGAGUAACACGUGAGUAACCUGCCCUUGACUUUGGGAUAACUUCAGGAAACUGGGGCUAAUACCGGAUAGGAGCUCCUGCUGCAUGGUGGGGGUUGGAAAGUUUCGGCGGUUGGGGAUGGACUCGCGGCUUAUCAGCUUGUUGGUGGGGUAGUGGCUUACCAAGGCUUUGACGGGUAGCCGGCCUGAGAGGGUGACCGGCCACAUUGGGACUGAGAUACGGCCCAGACUCCUACGGGAGGCAGCAGUGGGGAAUAUUGCACAAUGGGCGGAAGCCUGAUGCAGCAACGCCGCGUGCGGGAUGACGGCCCUCGGGUUGUAAACCGCUUUCGCCUGUGACGAAGCGUGAGUGACGGUAAUGGGUAAAGAAGCACCGGCUAACUACGUGCCAGCAGCCGCGGUGAUACGUAGGGUGCGAGCGUUGUCCGGAUUUAUUGGGCGUAAAGGGCUCGUAGGUGGUUGAUCGCGUCGGAAGUGUAAUCUUGGGGCUUAACCCUGAGCGUGCUUUCGAUACGGGUUGACUUGAGGAAGGUAGGGGAGAAUGGAAUUCCUGGUGGAGCGGUGGAAUGCGCAGAUAUCAGGAGGAACACCAGUGGCGAAGGCGGUUCUCUGGGCCUUUCCUGACGCUGAGGAGCGAAAGCGUGGGGAGCGAACAGGCUUAGAUACCCUGGUAGUCCACGCUGUAAACGGUGGGUACUAGGUGUGGGGUCCAUUCCACGGGUUCCGUGCCGUAGCUAACGCUUUAAGUACCCCGCCUGGGGAGUACGGCCGCAAGGCUAAAACUCAAAGGAAUUGACGGGGCCCCGCACAAGCGGCGGAGCAUGCGGAUUAAUUCGAUGCAACGCGUAGAACCUUACCUGGGUUUGACAUGGAUCGGGAGUGCUCAGAGAUGGGUGUGCCUCUUUUGGGGUCGGUUCACAGGUGGUGCAUGCCUGUCGUCAGCUCGUGUCGUGAGAUGUUGGGUUAAGUCCCGCAACGAGCGCAACCCUUGUUCACUGUUGCCAGCACGUUAUGGUGGGGACUCAGUGGAGACCGCCGGGGUCAACUCGGAGGAAGGUGGGGAUGACGUCAAGUCCUCAUGCCCCUUAUGUCCAGGGCUUCACGCAUGCUACAAUGGCUGGUACAGAGAGUGGCGAGCCUGUGAGGGUGAGCGAAUCUCGGAAAGCCGGUCUCAGUUCGGAUUGGGGUCUGCAACUCGACCUCAUGAAGUCGGAGUCGCUAGUAAUCGCAGAUCAGCAACGCUGCGGUGAAUACGUUCCCGGG
rnacentral:rRNA from 1 species